UACGAAGGGGGCGAGCGUUGUUCGGAAUCACUGGGCGUAAAGGGCGCGUAGGCGGCCCUCCUUGUCUCGUGUGAAAGCCCCGGGCUCAACCUGGGAACGGCGCGCGAGACGGGGGGGCUGGAGUUCGGGAGAGGAGCGUGGAAUUCCCAGUGUAGAGGUGAAAUUCGUAGAUAUUGGGAAGAACACCGGUGGCGAAGGCGGCGCUCUGGACCGAGACUGACGCUGAGGCGAGAAAGCGUGGGGAGCAAACAGG
rnacentral:rRNA from 1 species